AGGAGGGAAGGGGAGGACAGGUCCCUGCUCCCCAAUCCCUGAAAUUGCUCUUGGAGAGGCUGGUUUUGGGAAGAGGCGGAGCUGGUGGCGUUUUGGGUUGGAAAGAGGAUGAUGCUGGUCCAAGGCCGCGGUGCAGGGAGCGCCGGGAUGCAGGAUGUGCUGCAAACCCGGGAUCCCAGAGGGACCCUUGGUGGAGAUGGUUGAGGGGAGAACUUUGUAGAGUAGGGAUGAUGGUUGGACUCCGUGAUCCCGAGGGGCUUUUCCAACCUGAAUGGUUCUAUGAUUCCAUGACCCGCCGGCCGUGGAGGGACCCGGCUCCGCUGGUCCCGGGCUGGGUGCGGAGGACGAGGGGGUGGCCUCGGGAGGAGGAGGAGAAGCAGCUCAGGUUGAAGGUUGUUGCCGCUGGAGGGCAACAGGAGUCGGGCGAGCAGAGCAGAGCAGGGGCCUCGGUUUCCGCAGGGAGUCGGGAAUGGCCCCGGCAGGCGGCGGAGGGGGGGGUCCUGCCGGGAAGCGGGUGCUGCUGUGAAGGUGUUGGGGUCCCCCCUCCCCGUGUCUCCCCCCGGCAGCAGUUCCAGGGCUGGGGACAGCCCCGUCUCUCCCUCUGGCUGGGAGUGAGAUGUGCCCAAGCUGUUAUCCCACUAGGGGAUCUGUUAUCCCACUGGAGAAGCUGUUAUCCUACUAGGGGACCUGUUAUCCCACUAGGGGAUCUGUUACCCCACUGGAGGGGCUGUUACCCCACUGGAGGGGCUGUUACCCCACCGGAGGAGCCAGCUCUGCCUGCCCAGCCCCUCUGCCAAGGGUUCCCACUCACCUUAGCUCCUCCAUCCUGGUUAUUUCCUGUGGUUUAACACCCAAUGGCUCGGGGAGGGGACAGCAAGUGUGUCCCCACCACAUCCCUACCCAGGCUUUGGGCUCCCAUCCCACUCCCCACUCGGUCCCUGUCUCAGCUCCAGGAAGGGCUCUUCCCACCCACCUUUGGGUGCUCCAGGAAAGGAGCAGGUUGGGACCCAGGGUGGGCACCCAGCUCUGUUGGGUUCUGCCCAACUCUCACCACCUUCCUUUCCAGCAGCCCCAGGGGGGGUGAAAAAGCUUUUAAAGGGUUUUUUUUUUCCUUCCAAAACCCAAGCCCAGCUCUGGUUUAGCAGCACUGGGCAGACACCCCCCUCAAAAGUUUCUUUUUGCUCAUUUUUCCUACUUGGAUUCUAUUUUUCCUUUGGAUUUUUGCUUUCUUUCCAGCCCCAACCCAACCUGAUUAUUUCCACCAGCUGCAGCAGGGGGGGAAGUCUGGGACACCAGUUAAAUAUUGCAACUGGUCUGAACCUUUGGGUGGGACAGAUCCCAGGUGUGUGUAAAUAGUUGAGUCCAACAGAAAGACUUGAAAGCAGUUUCCUAUUUAUAGCCAAUUAUUUGUUUGUUUGUUUCUGGUUCCAGUCCACCUCCUGGGGAAAGGGUGGUGAGACAAGGUAACACUCCAGCUUCAGGUUUAACAUGAAGAACUCUUUUCAACUUGGAACAUCUCGUGUCUUAAUUUGUAGCCCUUUUGUCCCCUCUCCUGUGGUAGCUGCAGCAGGUCCAGGUAGGCUUAAGAUUUGAAUCAAACAGGUUCAUUUGCUUUGAUCCAUCAGCUCCACCCCCAGCAAGGCUUUGUGGACUUGGUAGUUGGAGCAGAGCUGAAGCUACUCUAGCAUCUAGCUUGAUUUUUGCCUCCAUUCCUCCUUUUUUGCAAGGUUCCCAACUUUUUGUAUCUUGGCAAGAGUGGAGGGGCCCAGCUUGGCCACCUCCAUUCCAGCCCCACUGCAGCCAUUUUGUAUUUAUCAGUGAUACAACCCAAUAAACCUGGUUUCAAUGACUCUCAGCUCUUAAGUGUGUUUCUGGUGCAGAGUCCUUGACCCUCAGCUCUUCCCCCACCUCCUCCUUUGGUGGUUUUAGCAACACUCUCCCCUCUGGGAGAGAGCCCUGGACGUGGGGUUAGUGCCCCCACACCAGCCCUUUAGCAGCACAACGAACCUCUCCUGCUCCCAGAAAGGUGGGAUCAGCUUUCCAGGGAUGUGUGAAGAAGAAGAAGAAGGUGGCUGAGACUUCCCUGCCACCACAAAGAGGAUGACACAUGAGUUUUUCCCCAAGGCAACAUGACCCCAGGAAGGAGAGCUGGAGCUGAGCACACCAGGCAAGAGCACCAACACUUACUGGAGGUUCUGGUGUCUCACCAGCACCCUGGGGUGCAGGGCUCAUCUCAUCAGCCCUUCUGCAGCCAGGAGCUGAGCCAGGCCAGGGAGCAGCAGGCCAGAAGGUUCACACCCAGCUUCUGCUGCCAAACCCCAGGUCUGCUCAACCCUGCUGCUGAUCUGUCUCCAUGCCAAGGGGAAGAGGACACCAAGCCACUCCUCAAGCUCUGAAGAUGGUCCUGCUGUGGCAUCUGUACAGCCAGAAGGUAAGCAGGUGUUUUCUUGGGGUUUUUUUUUUUCCUUCCCCCCACCCAACACACACAUGGAGCUGCCUGCACAUCUAACAGGGCCUGGCUGUAGCUGCUGCUUGGUUCAGGUGCUCAUAAGCAGACCAAGCCCUCCUGCCAGGUGUUACUUGACAUUUCAAAGGCUACAUUUACAUUUUCCAAAGCUACAAACAGCUCUGCUGCUCAAGUCAAGUAUGUGGCUCCAAGGUUUCACCCCAGGAUUAACUGGUUGGCACAAACAGCCCCUCACCCAGGGCAGCAACCAACAGCCCAAGGGCACCAGACCCUCCUGUGCUGCCAGAGCUGCCCCAGGACACUGGGCACCAACAGGAUUGUCUCCUGUGAGCAAAGAUCCCACCAGAAAAACCAGCCAGGGUGCAGCACGGCACCCUCACCCUCUCUGCAGCCUGCCUGGGUGGUUGGA